rnacentral:tRNA from 1 species
GGGCGCGUAGCUCAGCCUGGUAGAGCACCACGUUCGCAACGUGGGGGCCUCGGGUUCGAAUCCCGACGCGUCCA